rnacentral:rRNA from 1 species
CUACGGAGGGUGCGAGCGUUAAUCGGAAUUACUGGGCGUAAAGCGUACGUAGGCGGUUGGUUAAGUUAGAUGUGAAAGCCCCGGGCUUAACCUGGGAACUGCAUUUAAAACUGGCGAACUAGAGUUGAGUAGAGGGGAGUGGAAUUUCAGGUGUAGCGGUGAAAUGCGUAGAGAUCUGAAGGAACACCAGUGGCGAAGGCGACUCCCUGGACUCGAACUGACGCUGAGGUACGAAAGCGUGGGUAGCAAACGGGAUUAGAUACCCUAGUAGUCC